rnacentral:sRNA from 1 species
CGUUCCCCAUUUUCUUUCAAGCACUCUUUAUUUUCUUCUUUGCCUUGUCACUCUCUCUAUUCCAACUCCAAAAUCUAACCAUUUGUUUCCCGAAUUAAAGCUACCUAGACCUUCAGGACUCCAAGAGCUACGUUUCUACCGAUUGAUUUUCCAUUUUCUCCAACCGGUGAUUCUAACAUUUUGGGAGUGCAAGCAAGUGGUCUAGGGUUCCUACUUGAGCUUGGUUGUCUACACUAGAGGUAAGGGGAGCUAGUUCUACUCUUGAUUUUACUGUGUGGAGUGAAUGCAUGAUAAAAUUUGUAGUGGUAUGUUGUGGAAGCAUGAACUUGGUUCUAGUUAAACUUGAAAUGCAUGUAUGGAAGUGUGUGUUAUGUGAAUUUGGUGAUUGAUAUCUAUAAACUGUUUGGAAUGACUUAGAAUGAUGGAAUUGUGUAUGUUGGAACUGUUUUGGCAUGAAAAUUUUGUGGUAGUGCUGUUAGAAAGGAAAUCAAGUGUCUUUAGGGUCAAUUUUAGGCCAUUUUAGAGGAAGUGAGGUAGUGAUUUUGAGCAAAUGAAGUCUGCAGCGUUAUUGGACUGUUGGGACAGUUUUAUCCACUGUAUUGUGACUUGUUUGAGUCACUAAAUUGGUCAAAAUUAGUGCAAAGAGGUAAGACCGGGUUUUGGGUCUCUAAGUUGGGAAAAAUUGGUGUUUUAGAGUUAGAAAGGAAGUAUGGUGGUCAAAUUUAGAGUUAGACAUUCUUGGUGAUCCUAGUUAGUUUAGGUAACUUAGGUAGGUCAUGUGUGACUUAGUAGG